rnacentral:rRNA from 1 species
ACGUAGGUGGCAAGCGUUGUCCGGAAUUACUGGGUGUAAAGGGAGCGCAGGCGGACUAGCAAGUUGGAAGUGAAAUCUAUGGGCUCAACCCAUAAAUUGCUUUCAAAACUGCCGGUCUUGAGUAGUGCAGAGGUAGGCGGAAUUCCCGGUGUAGCGGUGGAAUGCGUAGAUAUCGGGAGGAACACCAGUGGCGAAGGCGGCCUACUGGGCACCAACUGACGCUGAGGCUCGAAAGUAUGGGUAGCAAACAG